GAGUGUGUGCCUCGUACGUAGGUAGCAAAUUUGGCCGUCGCACUUGUCGUGGGUGGGGCCCCAUUUACUGUACAUAUCCAUUAGGUAGCAAAUUUGGCCGUCGCACUUGUCGUGGGUGGGGGCCCAUUUACUGUAUAUAUCAAUUAGAUUUUGACCUCUAUGGGUCCGACACCUUUUCUGGCUGUGGAGACUUGUAAAUUGUAGUUUUAGGAAGGAUUCCCUCAAUUUAUUUUCUAUA